ensembl:lncRNA
CCCGCGCCUUGUUCAUCAGAUUUCCCCUGCGGAAAUGGCGUCUAUGUAACACACCUGUGCACAUGUACAGUAGACUUCGACAUGCCCAUCAUCACCAUGGACCAGGGAGUGUGUGCCGCUGUGAUCAGGGACAGGAGUUGAGGGGGGUCCACUAGCCCCAGGAAAGGCUUCUUCACACGAGAUAGUAGUAAAUGUGACUAACUACCCCAGGAGGCCAAUGACCUAAAUCCUUAAUUUCCAUCCCACGUAGCAUGUGUGUGGGGGGGCAGGAACCUGUCCAAGCAAAGCAUUAUGCAAAAUGACGCUAAACAAUUCGGAUGGACUCAGUAAUGUUGUAUUAAAAGAUAAAGUCCCAAUCUCCAUGUUGGCUUUCUUUCCUGUUCUGGGCCUUGUAAAUCCUCGACCAGACGAGCUGUCCAUGCAAAUUAAAAUGCUGAUUAAGACCGUGGAAGUGGCCCUGUUAAGUGGUACGCAGUCUUUGAUAAGAUUAGUGUAAGCCGCGGUCCCAAAUGCCCGCCUGCGUGUUGUCCACUAUUUAGGGGACACGCCGUCAUUUAGGAUGCUGCCACACGACUUUCUUCAGAGUGCAAGGGGAGACCAGAUGGGAUGAGAUCAAGAAGCCGGGCAAGUGAAGCAUCCCUUUAUCUCCCAAGGCUUUUGCCGAAAGAGGGAUAAAUGUGUCUUAAGAGCUUCUCCUCUCUCGUUAAAGAUGCCGCCCUCCCCAGAAACUGUGUGCCCAGAGCCUCAGCCACUCACGCACACAGACACAGCCCCGAAACCAAAGGGCUAGGUAGAGUCUUCUUCAGAAGCUCCCUCAGUUGGAACGAUGGAAUGCAGAGCUGCAGCCGCCCAGCCCGUUUACCCCCAGUUUCUCCUUCCCUCUCUCCCUCCUUUCUAUCUCUCCAUCCAGCUUAAACCCAGCCAAAUUCCAUCCCUUUUUUUCGGUAACGGAUCAGCAUUAGAGGGAACGAGGGGGUUUUCAUUUGAGGGAUUACAAAACUGUUGCAUCAGGGCCGAUACCUCCCUAAUGUGUACACAUCCUAGCAGGGUGAAGAAGAGGAGGGCAGCGCUGUCUCCUUCCUGUCCUUCUUGUGCCUUAAGAUCCCCGAAUCAUGAGAUUGGUGUUUACUCCACAGCUGACCCACUGCUACCUUCAGCUACGUUGAAUUCACAUUUACAUUAACAUUACAUUCAUGUUUGGCGUUAGCCAGCUCAAACCAAUACGCCUUAAUGAAACCUAUGAAGACGAACCUUGUUGUUGGGUAAUUGGAACAUCUGCAACCCUUUAAGUCACUUGUUAUUUUUCUAUAAUAAUUACUACGACAAUCUGACGUAGAUCAACCAAACCUCGAAGCUCUACGCACACGUUGUCCCCUGAAGGAUAUCUGAAGGAUCAGAUACCUUCGAACUUCAAAAACACCCACUGGCCUUUUCACCCCAUUGACAGUGUCAGCUGUCAGUCAAAAUUCAGUCUUCAAUUCCGUUUGUUACAAAGAUGUCCGUCUCAUGAACACGAAGACUAACACUAUUGCACGUUUAACCCUUACAUUACCCUGGUUUCACCAUUCAAACCCUUAACCUCCCUGAAACGCACAAACAUCCCUAAACCUGUCGCUAGCCCCUUAAGGAAAGAGCGCACGUUUUCAGAGAUCACGUGUGGACAACACGCAUGGCGGCACGU